rnacentral:rRNA from 1 species
UACGGGGGGGGCAAGCGUUGUUCGGAUUUACUGGGCGUAAAGGGCGCGUAGGCGGCCAGCCCAAGUCAGUUGUGAAAUCUCCGAGCUUAACUCGGAAAGGUCAACUGAUACUGUGCGGCUAGAGUGCGGAAGGGGCAACUGGAAUUCUUGGUGUAGCGGUGAAAUGCGUAGAUAUCAAGAGGGACACCUGCGGCGAAGGCGGGUUGCUGGGCCGACACUGACGCUGAGGCGCGAAAGCCAGGGGAGCGAACGGG